GAUGAACGCUGGCGGCGUGCCUAAUACAUGCAAGUCGAGCGAACAGACGAGGAGCUUGCUCCUCUGACGUUAGCGGCGGACGGGUGAGUAACACGUGGAUAACCUACCUAUAAGACUGGGAUAACUUCGGGAAACCGGAGCUAAUACCGGAUAAUAUAUUGAACCGCAUGGUUCAAUAGUGAAAGACGGUUUUGCUGUCACUUAUAGAUGGAUCCGCGCCGCAUUAGCUAGUUGGUAAGGUAACGGCUUACCAAGGCGACGAUGCGUAGCCGACCUGAGAGGGUGAAGGGCCACACUGGAACUGAGACACGGUCCAGACUCCUACGGGAGGCAGCAGUAGGGAAUCUUCCGCAAUGGGCGAAAGCCUGACGGAGCAACGCCGCGUGAGUGAUGAAGGUCUUCGGGUCGUAAAACUCUGUUAUUGGGGAAGAACAAAUGUGUAAGUAACUAUGCACGUCUUGACGGUACCUAAUCAGAAAGCCACGGCUAACUACGUG
rnacentral:rRNA from 1 species